rnacentral:rRNA from 1 species
GAUGAACGCUGGCGGCGUGCCUAAUACAUGCAAGUCGAGCGAACGGACGAGAAGCUUGCUUCUCUGAUGUUAGCGGCGGACGGGUGAGUAACACGUGGAUAACCCACUUAUCAGACUGGUAUAACUUCGGGAAACCGUAGCAAAUACCGGAUAAUAUUUUGAUCCGUAUGGUUCAAAAGUGAAAGACGGUGUUGCGGUCACUUAUAGAUGGUUCUGCGCUGCAUUAGCUAGUUGGUAAGGUAACGGCUUACCAAGGCAACGAUGCGUAGCCGACCUGAGAGAGUGAUCGCCCGCACGAGAACUGGGACGCGGUCCAGACUCCUACGGGAGGCAGCAGUAGCGAAUCGUACGCAGUGGGCGAAAGCAUGACGGAGCAGCGCCGCGUGAGUGAUGGAGGUCUUCGGAUCGUAAAGCUCUGUUAUGAGGGAAGAACAUAUGUGGACGGAACUGAGCACUGCUUGACGGUAACUAGUCAGAAAGCCACGGCUAACUACGUG